rnacentral:rRNA from 1 species
AAUGAGAAGAUUCAGUAUCUUACAUUUGGUCGAACAUGGCAUGUUAUGUGAUAAUUUUUAAUGGCUUCGGUUAUUAAUAUUACACUGGUGUGUUAUGCUAAUUUGGCUAUGGAGAUAUGCACUUCUUCUCUAGUAGGACGUUGCAACUCAUUGGAUGUUAAUCUAAGGACCCAUAGGUAGCCUAUUUUAUAUAUAUUUCGGUAUAUGUGAUUUAGACCUAAGGUGUACACCCGAUUAACUUGUUCGAUGGUAUAUCAUAAUAUUGGGCCGCCUAUAUGGCAUUCAAACUAUUUUCAAGUGUGUGCGGAUAAAAUUUUGGCUAUCAGACCUAGUGCUGUUACUGAAACCGUUAUACUGUUGGAAUUUAGUAUAUUGAAUAGACCUUUUAUAUUGGUUAGCAACGC